UCCUACGGGAGGCAGCAGUGGGGAAUCUUGGACAAUGGGCGCAAGCCUGAUCCAGCCAUGCCGCGUGAGUGAUGAAGGCCCUAGGGUCGUAAAGCUCUUUCGCCAGGGAUGAUAAUGACAGUACCUGGUAAAGAAACCCCGGCUAACUCCGUGCCAGCAGCCGCGGUAAUACGGAGGGGGUUAGCGUUGUUCGGAAUUACUGGGCGUAAAGCGCGCGUAGGCGGAUCAGAAAGUUGGGGGUGAAAUCCCAGGGCUCAACCCUGGAACUGCCCCCAAAACUCCUGGUCUAGAGUUCGAGAGAGGUGAGUGGAAUUCCGAGUGUAGAGGUGAAAUUCGUAGAUAUUCGGAGGAACACCAGUGGCGAAGGCGGCUCACUGGCUCGAUACUGACGCUGAGGUGCGAAAGUGUGGGGAGCAAACAGGAUUAGAUACCCUGGUAGUCCACACCGUAAACGAUGAAUGCCAGUCGUCAGCAAGCAUGCUUGUUGGUGACACACCUAACGGAUUAAGCAUUCCGCCUGGGGAGUACGGUCGCAAGAUUAAAACUCAAAUGAAUUGACGGA
rnacentral:rRNA from 1 species